rnacentral:lncRNA from 1 species
GACAUUUCAAAGUUUGAACAAACUCGCCAACAAGUUCAAUAUCUUGUGCUUCUUGUAAGUAUGGUAAGUAAUACAUAAGAAACCUCCGCUCGAUGUCAUAGGACGUCAACUUUGGUUUUAUGGUGCACCACGACGUGUUUGUGAAUAUUCUGUGUGUUACGAAAUAGCACUUCUCUUGAAAUGCUUUCAAUGAUGUAAGUUGUGACUGUCUCUAUGUUAUGCACAGAAUUUUAGAGAAAGUAAAAUCCCUACCUCACGUUCCAACGACUCAACUGAUGUAGUGCACAUGUUUUCAACGGCCUCUUCACAUAUGCCUUCAACCUUCAUCUCUGUUCCGCGAAAGAAGAAAGACCAAAUCAUGACUGAAUUGAGCAGAUCAUAGGACAAUGGAGUCGUCUUACUAAUGCCUAUGUAGUCAUAUAAGUGCCAUCGAGGUGCAGCAGAUCUUAUACAAUUUUCAAGUCCCCCAAUAUCGAAUGACAUUCUUUUCAGAGCGUACAAAGCUUCGUUUGAGUACAGAAUAUCUUCAGGUAACAUUGAAGCAUCGAAUGUUUUGUGCAUUUGUAACCAAUGUGUAGCAACACGUUUAGUUGCCUGCAAACAAUACUCUCUUGUUCUACCCUGUGCAUUAAUCGAAAAGAAAUAAAAGGACACUAAAAUGUCGCUCCCCCACUCGGAAAAAAACGUGU